rnacentral:rRNA from 1 species
CAUGUUACAGUUCAUACAGUAUUAAUAGUGAGACUGCGGACGGCUCAGUAAAUCAGUUAUAAUCCGUUCGAAAGUAUCCCCAUUGGAUAACCGUGGGAAAUCUAGAGCUAAUACAUGUGUGAAUAGUGUUUGGUGGCUUGCUACCGGACGCUAGCAUUUAUUAGAAGUGACCAACUGUUUGUAGGCGCUGGAAACGGUGUCUGCAAUCAAGGUGAAUCUAGAUAACUGAGCUGAUCGCAUAGCCUAGUGCUGGCGAUGUUUCGAUCGAAUUUCUGCCCUAUCAACUUGUUGGUAAGGUAGAGGCUUACCAAGGUUGCAACGGGUAACGGGGAAUCAGGGUUCGAUUCCGGAGAGGGAGCCUGAGAAACGGCUACCACAUCCAAGGAAGGCAGCAGGCGCGCAAAUUACCCAAUCCAGACAAUGGGAGGUGGUGACCAGAAGUACUGGGUGGUGGAUUAUAUCUACCAAUCCCGGAAUGAGCAUAAAGUAAAAAGUUAGUCGAGUAACAACUGGAGGGCAAGUCUGGUGCCAGCAGCCGCGGUAAUUCCAGCUCCAGUAGCAUGUCGUAAAGUUGUUGCGUUUAAAACGCUCGUAGUUGGAUUAUAGAGUGACGCUGGGUUAGUUCACAUGUCACCGGCAAACUAACUGUUGUGAAUGGAUUGGCGCAGUUAACUCUGUGUUAAUCGUUGAUGGCAGUGUCGGUAGUGUGAGUUUUGUGCCUGGCGUGACUAGUUGCACGUAAGAAUGGUGAUUGGCCUUAAGUGCGUUGGUCAGUGUGUCUUACGGGAUGUGCCUUGAAAAAAUCAAAGUGCUCAAAGCAGGCUGCACGCCUGAAUGAUACAGCAUGGAACGAACAAUCGUGUAAAGUGCAUGGGUAGGGACGGUGAUGCUAUUGAGUGAUUGGUGGCGUUGCCGACUGUCUAUGCACAUCACCAACCUUCAUGUACGGAUGUUGGUUUCCGUAUUGGGGUGAUGAUUAAAACGAGCGGUUGGGGGCAUUGGUAUUUGGCCGCGAGAGGUGAAAUUCUUAGACCGGCCAAGGACUAACAAAAGCGAAGGCAUUUGCCAAGACCGUCUCGAUUGAUCAAGAACGAAAGUGAGCGGAUCGAAGACGAUCAGAUACCGUCCUAGUGCUCACCAUAAACUAUGCCAACCCGGGAUUAGCUGCGAGCAUCAUAUGAAUGGCUCGAGGUUGGUCCCCCUGGGAAACCUGAAGUGUUUGGGUUACGGGGGGAGUAUGGUCGCAAGGCUGAAACUUAAAGGAAUUGACGGAAGGGCACCACCAGGGGUGGAGCCUGCGGCUUAAUUUGACUCAACACGGGAAAACUCACCCGGUCCUGACGUUAAAAGGAUAGACAGACUAAUAGAUCUUUCUUGAUAUGAUGUGUGGUGGUGCAUGGCCGUUCUUAGUUCGUGAAGUGAUUUGUCAGAUUGAUUUCGGUAACGGACGAGACCCGAGUCUCCAUUUACGAGACGUAAUAGUCGCUACCUACGGGUGGUGACUCUAGUUGGUGUGGUGGGGAGACGGUGGUGACAUCGGAUCUCGAUGACAACAACUAUUCUUAUGUCAUGUUGUGUGCGGUGACGUAUGCAGCUGCAUGGAGAGACAACUGACAAUAAUAUAAAAUCAGAGGAGGUUGGGCUAUAACAGGUCUGUGAUGCCCUUAGAUGUUCGGGGCUGCACGCGCGCUACAAUGAUGACGGCAGCGAGAUAUCUGGGCCGAGAGGCUUGGGAAAUCUGUCAAUCGUCAUCGUGAUGGGGAUUGUCCAUUGUAAUUUGGACAUGAAAUAGGAAUCCCUUGUACGUGCACUUCAUCUUAAAGUGCGUGGAAUGAGUCCCUGCCCUUUGUACACACCGCCCGUCGCUACUACCGAGUGAAUGGUGUCAUGAUGCGUUGGGAGUGGACGUCGAAAGGUUUUGCCUGGCGACGCUACCAUCAAUGUAGAAUGGCGCAA